GUUUUGAUGCAUGCCAGCAAAGCCACUACACAACACUAAACAAUACAUUAAUUGCACUAUAACGGUGACAAACAGUGCCCACAAACUGUUAGGGCCUACAUAAAGCUGUCCAAACAGCAGAGUCCUAACAGCAGUCCCAACACCUUACCACCGCUACACCUGGCUAUCAGUGGAGCCUUGUCUGGCAGCAAAACAGUUCAUUCCGCCUCAUUUACUGCCUUUAAAAAAACAUAGCUUUUAUGCCUGACUUUCUGAAACAUAUGUGGUUUCUACUGACAAUUGAGAUGUACAAACUAUGGAAUAAGGGGGAGAUGAGCGUAUAAGAAGUAAUCAAAGAUUUAGAUUGAUAUUAAUGAGCGAGCUAGGAUGGACGUAGUCAAUAUAACUAUUUGUUCAGCACUUUUAAAAUGUACAGCGACAGAAUUCAGAACAUGGGCUGUUCUUUCAGUAUUCUCCCUGUACACCAAGUCAGAACCGUAGGAUAAAUAAAGGGAGAAUAUAAGCAGACAAUGAAAGCUUUUACAAUAUUUGAUGAUUACAUUUCUCUAAAACAGGUUAUAGGCUACAUGUGCACCACCAAGUCAGAAGUGUAGGCGAAAUUAAGAGUUGGAAAAAAGAUCAAGUGAUUAGGGUGAGGCACAUGGGCUACUAACAGCUUACUACACAACAUACACUUAGUAUUACGUUCUUAGCUACAGCCAUGUUUAGGUAAGUUGCUUUCUAAAUGUAAUCCGUUAGUUACCUGUGAAAUUGUAAUCAGUAACGUUAGCUUUUGGAUUACCCAAAUUAAUCUGAUUAUUCAGGUACUUUUAGAUUACUUUCCCCUUGAGGCAAUAGAAGAAGACAAAAUGUAUGUUACCAAUUGAAUGACAUCUAUUGCAGGAUAAAUCAAUGUUAAAGUUAACAUAGCUGGCCAUAUAUGGAUGUUAAAUGUUGCUUUAUGGGUUGGUUAUGUAGGCUUCUUCUAACCCAUCGCUUUCUACUACAUAUAAUAAUACAAUUAAAUUAUCUUUACAUUAAAAACCAAAUAUCAGAAUUCCAGUCAUUCCAAUACAUGCUAUACCCCUUGAUCUUGAAGAAUAGGAUUUAGAAAUAUGGAAGUAUAGAUUAGCCAAAUUGUUUUAUCUGAGCAUAACCCCAAAAUUAAGGACUUAUUAGCCAGCCCUACUCUCUUGAUUAUGAUUUUGUUGUCAUGGAGGACUGAUUGGGCUCAUUGAUUCGAGUUUAAAAAAUAAGUGCUGCGCUCAUGGAAUGGCAUGCUUUGAGCACUACUGAAAAGUGCUAAUUACAUGUGAAAAAUGAAUGCCAUAUGCUACGUUUGUUAUAGUCCUAUUGUUUACCUUUUUGUUGGUGACACGUUGAUAUCUUGAUAAUAUGCAGCUGUUUAAAGGGCAAAUCCACAGAUGAAACAAUAACAAAACGUUCGCCCUGCCUCUGUUUUGGUAAAAAGCUGAGGGAUGGGCCUGGAGAAAUGUAACCACUCAGAUUAAUAGAGAGCUAUGGAUGCGAGGACUGACCAUCCAUGAUAGCAAAAUUAUCAUUUCAACCAUGUUAUGAAGCUAUACAGUGUUUGCUUACAUUUACAAUGUUUACAAAAUAUUUUGGGGUCUCAUGGAGUGUGACACUUAAACUAAGCUCAUGAGUCAAUUCUAAGUUAUAUUCUUUGAGAAUCAACGGAUAUACAGUACCAGUCAAAAGAUUGUACAGACUUACUCAUUAAAAUCAAAUCAAACUUUGUCACAUGCGCUGAAUAUAACGUAGACCUUACAUGAAAUGUUUAUUUACAAGCCCUUAACUCUUUCUUGAACUGCAUUGUUGGUUAAGAAAAUAUUUACCAAAUAAACUAAAGUAAAAAAAUAUAUAAUAAGUAACAAAAUAACAAUAACGAGGCUUUAUAAAGGGGGUACCGAGUCAAUGUGCAGGGUUACAUUUGUAUUUUUUUAUUUAACAAGGCAAGUCAGGAAGCUUGGCCCCAGUGAUGUACUGGGCCGUACACACUACCCUCUGUUGUGUCUUAAGGUCAGAUUCCGAGCAGUUGCCAUACCAGGCGGUGAUGCAACUGGUCAGGAUGCUCUCGAUGGGGCAGCUGUAGAACUUUUUGAGGAUCUGGGGACCCAUGCCAAAUAUUUUAAGUCUCCAGAGGUGGAAAAGGUGUUGUCUUGCCCUCUUCACAACUGUCGUGGUGUGUUUGGACCAUGAUAGUUUGUUGGUGUGGACACCAAGGAACUUGAAACUCUCAACCCGCUCCUCUACAGCCCCGUCGAUGUUAAUGGGGGCUUGUUCGGCCGCCUUUUCCUGUAGUCCACGAUCAGCUCCUUUGUCUUGCUCACAUUGAGGGAGAGGUUGUUGUCUUGGCACCACACUGCCUGGUCUCUGACCUCCUCCCUAUAGGCUUUCUCAUCGUUGUCGGUAAUCAGGCCUACCACUGUUGUGUCAUCAACAAACUUAAUGAUUGUGUUGGGUUUUUCUUUAUGUUUACUGUUUUCUACAUUGUGGAAUAAUAGUGAAGACAUCAAAACUAUGAAAUUACACACAUGGAAUCAUGUAGUAACCAAAAAAGUGUUAAACAAAUUAAGAUUCUUCAAAGUAGCCACCCUUUGCCUUGAUGACAGCUUUGCUCAAUUGGCAUUCUCUCAACCAGCUUCAUGAGGAAUGCUUGUCCAACAGUCUUGAAGGAGUUCCCACAUAUGCUAAGCACUUGUUGGCUGCUUUUCCUUCACUCUGCGGUCCAACUCAUCUCAAACCAUCUCAAUUGGGUUGAGGUCGGGUGAUUGUGGAGGCCAGGUCAUCUGAUGCAGCACUCCAUCACUCUCCUUGGUCAAAUGUCCGUACAGGGCAUGUUCACUAGCAAGCGGUAAAUUGCUGCGUCCCGCUUAGGCCGCCUAUUGUGCGUGCUGGCAGCAUAUGGCAGCAUAUAGCAGCACGUUCGAUUGUGAGUCAAGUAUUCAGCAUAGCAAGUUUGUAUGAAGGUCUGGUUAUUAAAUAGGUAAAUCGUAAUAUGCUCUAAACGCUCUGGUGACAAACUUUGCUGCCCUGUUUCCAAUUGUUCACAUGGCUGGGAGAACCUUUUCAAGUAAGUAAAUACAUUUUGAUAAUGUAAAAAAAAUUAUGUAUUAUUAGCUAACUAAUAAUAGUUGAAGAAAUUUGUCUUGUCACCUAAAACACUCAAACUUUUACAGAUGCACAAUCGAGGGCAUCCUGUCGGGCUGUAUUACCGCCUGGUACGGCAACUGCACCGCCCUCAACCGCAAGGCUCUCCAGAGGGUAGUGCGGUCUGCACAAUGCAUCACCGGGGGCAAACUACCUGCCCUCCAGGACACCUACAGCACCCGAUGUCAUAGGAAGGCCGAAAAGAUCAUUCAUGACAAUAACCACCCGAGCCACUGCCUGUUCACCCCGCUAUCAUACAGAAGGCGAGGUCAGUACAGAUGCAUCAAAGCUGAUACCGAGAGACUGAAAAACAGCUUGUAUCUCAUGGCCAUCAGAACUUCUUCAGGCUAGGGUCUAUUUUUCUCAAUAUCCGCCUGACUGACAUGCCCAAAGUAAACUGCCUGUUGCUCAGGCCCUGAUAUGCAUAUAAUUUAUACCAUUUGAAAGAAAACACUCUGAAGUUUGUAGAAAUAUUAAAAUAAUGUAGGAGACUAUAAAACAAUAGAUAUGGUAGGAGAAAAUCCAAAGAAAAACCAACCAGAUUUUUUUUUGAGAGAGCCCAUGCUCUUCCAAUGGAACGUAUAGGUAAAAAAUGUAAUCUAGCUCCCAGUAUGCAAUUCCAAUGGCUUCCACUCGGUAUAAAUAGUCUUUGUUCAAGGUUUCAGGCUUGUUUCUUCCAAAACGAGGAAGAAUAAUGAGUUUUAGUACAGGGACACAGACUUGGAUAUUAGUGUAUGCGCACGCAACGAAGAGGACACGCACCAGCUAAUAUCGUUUUCCAAUUGAACAUACUUCUUUCCGUAUGAAAUAUUAUAGUUAAAUACAUUUUAGGGUAUCUGACGAUUGAAUAGAAACAUAUUUUGACUUGUUUUAACAGAGUUUACCUAUAGCUUUUUGGAUUCCUUUCUCUGCAUGUUGAACAAGUGGAUUACUCAAAUUGAUGGCGCCAACUAAACAGACUUUUUGGGAUAUAAAGAAGGAUUUUAUCUAACAGAAUGACACUACAUGUUGUAGCUGGGACCCUUUGGAUGACAAAUCAGAGGAAGAUUUUCAAAAAGUAAGUGAAUAUUUAAUCGCUAUUUGUGAAUUUAUGAAAACUGUGCCGGUGGAAAAAUAUUUUGACAAUCGCAUGGCAUGCUUUCGCUGUAAAGCCUACUGUAAAUUGGACAGUGCAGUUAGAUUAACAAUAAUUUAAGCUUUUAACCGAUAUAAGACACUUGUAUGUACAUAAAUGUUUAAUAUCCAUAAUGUUUAUGAUUAUUCAUUUUAGUUGCGCGCCCUCCAGUUUCACCGGAAGUUGUCCCACUAGCGGGAUGCCUAGCCUUAAGACGUUUUUAAACAGCCAUCACUAACAUGGAGAGGCUGCUGUCAACAUACAGACUCAAAUCUCUGGCCAUUUGAACUUAAUAAAGAUACAAUGAAGUUAAUAAAGGUAUCACUAGUCACCUUAAAUAACACCACUUCAAUAAUGUUUACAUAUCCUACAUAAAUCAUCUCAUAUGUAUAUACUGUUCUAUACCAUCUACUGCAUCUUGCCUACACCGGCACGGCCAUCGUUCAUCCAUAUAUACAGUUGAAUUGGGAAGUUUACAUACACCUUAGCCAAAUACAUAUCAACUCAGUUUUUCACAAUUCCUGACAUUUAAUCCUAGUAAGAAUUCAUUGUCUUAGGUCAGUUAGGAUCACCACUUUAUUUUAAGAAUGUGAAAUGUCAGAAUAAUAGUAGAGAGAAUGAUUUUUUUCAGCUUUUAUUUAUUUUGUCACAUUCCCAGUGGGUCAGAAGUUUACAUACACUCAAUUAGUAUUUGGUGGCAUUGCCUAUAAAUGGUUUACUUGGGUUAAACAUUUUGGGUAGCCUUCCACAAGCUUCCCACAAUAAGUUGGGUGAAUUUAGGCCCAUUCCUCCUGACAGAGAUGGUGUAACGGAGUCAGGUUUGUAGGCCUCCUUGCACUCACACGCUUUCUCAGUUCUGCCCACAUAUUUUCUAUGGGAUUGAGGUCAGGGCUUUGUGAUGACCACUCCAAUACCUCGACUUUGUUGUCCUUAAGCCAUAUUGCCACAACUUUGGAAGCAUGCUUGGGCUCAUUGUCUAUUUGGAAGACCCAUUUGCGAUCAAACUUUAACUUUCUGACUGAUGUCUUGAGAUGUUGCUUCAAUAUACCCACAUCAUUUUCCCUACCUCAUGAUGCCGUCUAUUUUGUGAAGUGCACCAGUCCCUCCUGCAGCAAAGCACCCCCACAACAUGAUACUGCCACCUCCGUGCUUCACGGUUGGGAUGGUGUUUAUCGGCUUGCAAGCAUCCCCCUUUUUCCUCCAAACAUAACAAUGGUCAUUAUGGCCAAACAGUUCUAUUUUUGAUUCAUCAGACCAGAGGACAUUUCUCCAAGAAGUACGAUCUUUGUCCCCAUGUGCAGUUGCAAACCGUAGUCUGGCUUUUUUAUGGCAGUUUUGGAGCAGUGGCUUCUUCCUUGCUGAGCGGCCUUUCAGGUUAUAUCGAUAUAGGACUCGUUUUACUGUGGAUAUAGAUAUUUUUGUACCUGUUUCCUCCAGCAUCUUCACAAGGUCCUUUGCUGUUGUUCUGGGAUUGAUUUGCACUUUUUGCACCAAAGUACGUUCAUCUCAAGGAGACAGAACGCGCCUCCUUCCUGAGCGGUAUGACGGCUGCGUGGUCCCAUGGUGUUUAUACUUGCGUACUAUUGUUUGUACAGAUGAGCGUGGUACCUUCAGGCGUUUGGGAAUUGCUCCCAAGGAUGAACCAGACUUGUGGAGGUCUACAAUUUUGUUUCUGAGGUCUUGGCUGAUUUCUUUUGAUUUUCCCAUGAUGUCAAGCAAAGAGGCACUGAGUUUGAAGGUAGGCCUUGAAAUACAUCCACAGGUACACCUCCAAUUGACUCAAAUGAUGUUAAUUAUCCUAUUAGAAGCUUCGAAAGCCAUGACAUAAUUUUCUGGAAUUUUCCAAGCUGUUUAAAGCCACAGUCAACUUAGUGUAUGUAAACUUUUGACACACUGUAAUUGUGAUACAGUGAAUUACAAGUGAAAUAAUCUGUCUGUAAACACUUGUUGGGAAAAUUACUUGUGUCAUUCACAAAGUAGAUGUCCUAACCGACUUGCCAAAACUAUAGUUUUUUAACAAGAAAUUUGUGGAGUGGUUGAAAAACGAGUUUUAAUGACUCCAACCUAAGUGUAUGUAAACUUCCGACUUCAACUGUACAUAUUCUUAUUCAUCCCUUACAUUUGUGUGUAUAAGGUAGUUGUUGUGAAUUUGUUAGAUUACUUGUUAGAUAUUACUGCAUUGUCGGAACUAGAACCACAAGCAUUUCGCCACACUCACAUUAACAUCUACUAACAAUGUGUAUGUGACCAAUAAAAUUUGAUUUGAUAACUAGCUACAGUGCAGGCUAACUCAAAUUAGCUGCUAAAUAAGCUAGCUAGCUAGCCAGCCAACUUUACAUACUGUAUAGAUAGCUAGCUAAGUGAAUGAAAUAUCACCAGCUACCUAACUUCAUAUUAGCUAUCUUGAUGUAUUUAUCACUGUAAAAAAACAAACUCCAAAUGCAUUUGUAGGUAGCUUGCUAACAACCAUGGAGGAUGGUGAAAGAAUAGCAGCCCCAACUGUCAAAGUGAGAGAUUAGGCUAUUCUGGAUAGUGCAUGUACUUUUGUGUAGUUCCAGUCCCUAGAAGUGAGGAUGGAGAUAAUAGUAACAUAAUAUUCAGUGUGGUGUAAUUUGAGUAUAAUGAAGUCUGUUUCUUGUGCGGUUUUCUGUCCUCAGAUAAAGAGAGCUAUGAAAGCCUGUUUACAGAUGAAGAGGUCCCAAUGAAGAGCAGUGGUUCUGGUCCUGGGGACACCAAGGGAUACCUUGCAACUGGAGAUUCUUUCAAAACGAUUGCCUACAGUUACCGUGUAGGGCACUGCAAGGUUGGGUGACCAGGGCCAUCUGGGACUGCCUCCUGGUGGCCCUGUCCUGCAUAACUUCAUGAGGAUGGACACGAGGACCAGGAGGGGAUCUGCAGCUCGCCGCCGUGUCCCAGAGGAGAAGUCUGCUGCUCUGCAGGAUGUUUCAAGGAUGGGGUCCAACAACGCAGCAAGAGAGGCAAUCUGUGUGCAGGAGAUCUUCACCUCCUCCUUCUUCAAAGAGGGUGCUGUUCCCUGGCAACACCACCAAAGGCUCUUUUAAGAGCCAUUCACAUUGCAAUAAGAGUAUUCUUCCAUUUACUUAGCUGUGUCAACUGCAGUUAUUCAAUUGCCAGUUUCUUUCCCUUUGAUUUCCACUUCUCAGGUGAGGGUGCUGUUUAGGUAAGGGUGUGAUGUCUGUACAAAAACAAAACAGGCUAUUUUAAAUCACCCAUAUUGAAAUAAAUGUACAACAAUUAGACACCCUAUGACCCACACCUACACACUCAUGUGUCAAUCUGAUUGAUGGAUUGUGUUGUGCAGUAGGCAGGCUCAAGUGUAUAACUGUGGCUACUUCCACCUUCAAAGAAUAGGCAAGAGUGCCAGCUAUGGAGAAUAGUAAGACACUUCAUUAUUUCUAUAACUACGCGAUAUUGUUUGUCCUCGUGUGUCUGUUUAUGUUUUUAAGCAUAAAGUACCCUGCAGCCACUUAGUGUGUACACCACACAGAUGUCUCUUUAACUACCUUAUUUUCUCAAUAACAGUCGCUCUCUUUCACUUCCUCCCUCUCUCCCCUUCUCCCUAAAUCCUCUAGGUUAUAUCAGCUGUGUCGGUGAACCCCUCCCGCAUCUGAACUGGCUACAUAGAGGGCACAGCAUGAUCAGAGGUGAGAGGUCACUUGGUCAGGCCAACAGGAAGUAUUUUUAAAGAGAUGCUUUACAUUGAAAUACAGAUAGAGAUGCAGUAGUCCCAGAGUUAAUGAUCCAAGGUCAGUUUUGCAUUUCACCUCCUGAUUAUGAUGACUGACAGUGUUAGAUUUUUUUUUUCAACACAAGGCUUAAACAUGCUCUCUCUCUCUCCAUCUGUCUCCCGUCUGUUUUGAUGUGAGAGGAUACCAACCCCCAGUCCCAUCAUCGCCACCUCACCCACUCUUAAGAUAACCUUCGGGUCAACUAGAGACACUAAUUGUAAUUGUGAGGAACUGAGAGAAUAUUAGGGUAGCACUGAUUCAUUAAUCAUAUGCUGUCUUCCCUGCUCCUAUGUUCUUACCUCUUUCCCUUUCUGUCUUUUACACCUCUCUCACCACCACUUUCUUCCUUUGUUUUUAUAAUGCACAACAGAUCUGCAUUGAAGUAAAGAUUGAACUUAUAAAUAUUAUUAUAUUAUAAAUAUAACACUUGGAUAAUGAACUUCUUUCAAUAAAGCGGUCACAUUCUGUA